AGGGCAGGGCGGGCAAAGCA
rnacentral:misc_RNA from 1 species